GACAGAGGUGCCGAGCGUUAGGCGGAAUCACUGGGCUUAAAGCGUGUGUAGGCGGAUCGUUAAGUAUCUUGUGAAAUCCCCCGGCUCAACCGGGGAACUGCUGGGUAUACUGGCGAUCUUGAGCAAUCUAGGGGCAGAUGGAACAAAUGGUGGAGCGGUGAAAUGCGUAGAUAUCAUGUGGAACGCCAAAGGUGAAAACAGUCUGCUGGGGAUUUGCUGACGCUGAGACACGAAAGCCAGGGGAGCGAACGGG
rnacentral:rRNA from 1 species